rnacentral:lncRNA from 1 species
CACGUUUUCAUUGUCAUCAAAAUCAACUUUAUAUCAAAUCACAUUGUAUUAGUCACAUGUGCCGAAUACAACAGUGAAAAGUAUAAGAAAGAAAAGUAACAAGUAAUUAAAGAGCAGCAGUAAAAUAACAAUAGCGAGACUAUAUACAGUUGGGUACCGGUACAGUUGAGGUAAUAUGUACAUGUAGGUAGAGUUAUUAAAGUGACUAUGCAUAGAUGAUAACAACAGAGAGUAGCAGUAGUGUAAAAGAGGGGGAAAGGGGGCAAUGCAAAUAUUCUGGGUAGCCAUUUGAUUAGAUGUUCAGGAGUCUUAUGGCGACUAGGAGUGCCAGCCUCUGGGUGAGCAUUUUUUUGGUUUGCUUAUGGCCCUAUACAGCUCGUUGAGUAGUCUUAGUGCCAGCAUCGGUUUGUGGUGGUAAAUAGACAGCUAUGAAAAAUAAAGAUGAAAACUCUCUUGGUAGAUAGUGUGGUGUACGGCUUAUCAUGAGGUAUUCUAAGUCAGGCGGGCAGAACCUUGAGACUUCCUUAAUGUUAGAGAUUGUGCACCAGCUGUUGUUACUAAGAGACACAAUUGGUCAAAAGCCCGUAAAACGGCUGAUAUUCCCUCCAGCGCCAUUCUUUCUUGAUCAUUGACAAAGAAAAUCCAGACUUCAAAGAAGAGGUGAAGGGACGCCGCAAGUGCUUUCAGACUAAAGUAGCCUUCUACGGGGUUGGUAAGAAGCUAAGGAAGCCACCAAUGGCCACUCUUGACAAAGGAAUGAUUAGAGAUGAAGGAAGAGAUCACCACAGAAACCAAGGAGAGAACAUGGGAACAUAUGAAAGCUGGUGGUUCCUUUUAACAUGAG